rnacentral:rRNA from 1 species
CUGACCUUUUACUGGGGAAUAGCCCGGAGAAAUCGGAUUAUACCCCAGUAACAUCAUCAUGAGAGCAUCUGAGUAUGAUUCAAGAUUUAUCGGUAAAGAUGGGCAUGCGUGACAUUAGCUCAGUUGGUGAGGUAACGGCUCACCAAGGCGACGAUGUCUAGGGGAUCUGAUGAGGACUAGCCCCCCAUACUGGUACUGAGACACGGAUCCAGACUCAUACGGGAGGCAGCCAAGUAAGGAAUCAUCUGGUCAAUGGAUGGCAACUCUGAACCAGCCAUGCCUGCGUGCAGGAAGACGGACCUAUGGUUUGUAAACUGCUUUUGUAACACGAGAAAACCCUCUUACGUGUAAGAGGCUCGAUAGUCAUGUUAAGAAUCAAGGAUCGGCUAACUUCGUGCCAGCAUGCCGCGGUAUAUACGAAGGAUCCAAGCGUUAUCCGGAUUCAUUGGGUUUAACGGGUGCGUAGGCGGU